CCCCGCCUCUUCGAAGUCUUUGCUGAACCAGGGCCUAUUUUGCCGGCCUCUCCCAUAACUCACGGAGCGCGCCUGAAGGCCAUCAACAAUCCUAUUUGCGCAUGGCCACCUAGAAUACUGAAGAGAUGGAAAAGACGUCGGCAUUACUCAUGAGGCCCCAGGGAAACCAUAAUUUAAAACCUCUGAACGAAAAAAGAUGUCACAGUCUCCCUGCAGCUCCUGGAGCCAAGACUGCCGGCAUGUCCUGCCCGCCAGCCGCUGCACACAGUGGGAGUGGGAUGUCCCUCCAGGACCUUGUUUCAGG
rnacentral:lncRNA from 1 species